UACGUAGGGUGCGAGCGUUAAUCGGAAUUACUGGGCGUAAAGCGUGCGCAGGCGGUUUUGUAAGCCAGAUGUGAAAGCCCCGGGCUUAACCUGGGAAUGGCAUUUGGGACUGCAAGGCUUGAGUGCGGCAGAGGAGACUGGAAUUCCUGGUGUAGCAGUGAAAUGCGUAGAGAUCGGGAGGAACACCAGUGGCGAAGGCGACUAUCUGGACCAGCACUGACACUGAGGCACGAAAGCGUGGGGAGCAAACAGG
rnacentral:rRNA from 1 species